UACCAGCUCCUGCAAAGCAACAUCGCCAUGGUAACAGGCCACAGCUGGGAAGGGGGCACGCCACGCGUGGGGCAGCCGCAGUGCAGGCUGUGAGCUGCUCCGAGCUGCGGUUCCAGCCGCACCGCUUCGGGAACAGCCAUGCUGUGUGCGGAGCGGCACGAGACUAAAGCGCAGUCAGGAGCGGCUUGAAAAUUUCAUGCAGUCUAUCUGCAACUCACCUUCCCAGGUAUGAGGCACAAGCCUCCAGAGCCUGCUUAUCAUUCAGACACUGACUGAGGAAUUCUUUGAAGUUCUGAUUAGACUUUGCUACUUGCUCCUGAAUAUGGAUCACAGCUGGUUGAGCACAGUUUGGAAUUACACCUGAGAUGCACUAUGCAUCUAUUGGAAUUUGCUGGGACUUCUGAAUGAAAGGAAGUUUUUGUCGGACUAGAGAAGAAUAUUCAUCAUCAAAUUGAAUUUGAAUUGGCUGGUAUAUCAGCAUUAACCCAAGCUCAUAAUGGAAAAAAUCUCAGCAUGGUUUGUCACAAAUACACCUCUAAGGAGCAAGAGUUAUAUCUUUUUGGGCUAUUUGCUUUGCUUUGUCCAUGAGCCACUGGAGUUCAUGCUGGUGAGAACUGAGUUCUUCAUCCAACUGGUUAAAGAUCCUCAAUCUGUUUUGAACUGCCUCCAGUUCUAAGUACAGAUGGUCUACCACAGCCCUGCAGGAGGUCCUCUGCUCAGAAAUCCCAUGCUUUAAGUGAUACUGGGCCUUAGUAAGUGAACCAUCC